GAUGAACGCUGGCGGCGUGCCUAAUACAUGCAAGUCGAGCGAACAGACGAGGAGCUUGCUCCUCUGACGUUAGCGGCGGACGGGUGAGUAACACGUGGAUAACCUACCUAUAAGACUGGGAUAACUUCGGGAAACCGGAGCUAAUACCGGAUAAUAUAUUGAACCGCAUGGUUCAAUAGUGAAAGACGGUUUUGCUGUCACUUAUAGAUGGAUCCGCGCCGCAUUAGCUAGUUGGUAAGGUAACGGCUUACCAAGGCGACGAUGCGUAGCCGACCUGAGAGGGGGAUCGGCCACCCUGGAACUGAGACACGGUCCAGACUCCUACGGGAGGCAGCAGUAGGGAAUCUUCCGCAAUGGGCGAAAGCCUGACGGAGCAACGCCGCGUGAGUGAUGAAGGUCUUCGGAUCGUAAAACUCUGUUAUUAGGGAAGAACAAAUGUGUAAGUAACUAUGCACGUCUUGACGGUACCUAAUCAGAAAGCCACGGCUAACUACGUG
rnacentral:rRNA from 1 species